rnacentral:lncRNA from 1 species
GGUGGGGGCACUGCUGCAGAACAGACUCAGCCAAAACACUUUUCCAAGACUCUGCUUCCUCACAGUUCAUCGUGUUUUCUUCCAGUAGUCCUACAGCCACCAUGAAAAGGGGUUUUGAGGUCAUAGAGUGCAACCCAUGCUGUCACAAGGGUUGCUUGUCAGGAUUUGCCUUCUACAGCUCUUCCUCCUACAGAAUCUGCCUUUGCUUUGAGGCUUUCCCUUGCCCUUCACACCCAACACGCGUUGUUAUCACUUCCACUUUGAGGAGAUGCAUCAACCAGAGUUCCCCAAAAGGCUCCUCACUAACUUUGCUUUUUAAUUGGUUAUUUAUGCCAAUUAGCCCCCUUCUCCCCUUUACCGCGGAAUAGAGUGCUUGAAAAGAAAUUGCAUCUAAUACUGAACUAUGAAGACUAACAUUCUGAAAAGGAGUAGAUUAAUUGAAGAGCAUGGGCUCAUGGCUGAGGAUCCUCAAGAGUGCUGUUUGCUCUCCAAAGGAAUCUGUACAUGUAAGAGGAGCACAGAACCAGGUCACAAAUAAUGGCAUAUAUCAACACUGGCAGGUGGUUCUUCUUCAAGCAAAAUACAGUCCAAGAGUGCGGUCUCUUCUGAGAAGGGUGUGAUGCUGCUGCUUCCUCCCUGGCCAACUUAGCAAUAAAGCAGACACACAUAAAGCUGCACAUUUGCCACAUCUGAGAAGCA